rnacentral:rRNA from 1 species
AAAGGAAUAGACGGGGGCCCGCACAAGCGGAGGAACAUGUGGUUUAAUUCGAUGAUACGCGAGGAACCUUACCUGGGCUUAAAUGUACAGUGCAUUUCGGAGAAAUCCGGAUUUCCUACGGGACUCUGUGCAAGGUGCUGCAUGGUUGUCGUCAGCUCGUGCCGUGAGGUGUCGGGUUAAGUCCCAUAACGAGCGCAACCCUUAUCGUUAGUUGCCAUCGGGUAAUGCCGGGAACUCUAGCGAAACUGCCGGUGUAAACCGUGAGGAAGGUGGGGAUGACGUCAAAUCAGCACGGCCCUUAUGUCCAGGGCUACACACGUGUUACAAUGGUCGGUACAGAGGGCAGCUACCUGGAGACAGGAUGCGAAUCUCGAAAGCCGGUCUCAGUUCGGAUCGGAGUCUGCAACUCGACUCCGUGAAGCUGGAUUCGCUAGUAAUCGCGCAUCAGCCACGGCGCGGUGAAUACGUUCCCGGGCCUUGUACACACCGCCCGU